AACGAGGCCGACCUGCGGCUGAGUUACCUGCGGAGGGAUCAUUAUUGAAUAAACUGCCUUGAUAGGUUGUUGCUGGCCUCUAGGGGCAUGUGCACGCCUGUCUUGACUCUAUUCAUCCACCUGUGCACCUUUUGUAGUCCUUUCCUUUCUGAUAUGACAUCCAUUCAGCUGAGACAUGCUGGAUUUGAGGUGUGCCUUGUGUGCUUACUUGGCUUUCCUUUGUGGGGUCUUACUCAGAAA
rnacentral:misc_RNA from 1 species